UUAGAGGUUGCUAGCUUUUAACCCCUCCGAGCCUGGAGGGGACACAGAACAAACAAAUAAAUAAAAGAAAAGAAAAGAAACCACAAGACAUAAUGGGAAUGAGGCAUUCCUUUACACCUACCCAUAGAAAACUGAUACAUAUGAACAUUGCUAAAGAUCUGGGUGACUUUGAAAACCCAACAUCAGGACUUUGAUAAAGGGCAAGCUGAGGGCAAAUAGAACGGCACAUAGAUCAAGCAAGAUUCAGGGAGUGUUAAGACAAAACCAAAGCAAAAUCAGCAGGAGAAACAACAAACAAGAAUCAUAGCAUUACCAAAGAGCUCUCAACAUGAAUCAUCAACCCACCUGUCAUCAGCCUCUUCCUCUGCCCUUUCACAGGAAAGCUUGGAGGCUAGGACUAGGACCUGAAAGAUCAUAAGGCAGAAGACUUCCUGAGACUCAGCAGAUUUGUGACUGGAUCAGAGAUAACCUGGGAAACCUUUGUACCCUGCAUUGUAUUUCACAGAGGAAAGGUAGAAUGUAAUGUAAUAAUUAAAGAAGCACAGAGUCUCAAGCCAGCUUGCAUUGCAAGGCAUUGCAGGACUAAGUUAUGAUUUCUGAUCUUCCAUUGCUACUG